GUAUAUAUAUGUGUGUGCAUAUAUGUGUGUAUUUGUGUGUAUGUAUAUAUGUAUGUGUAUAUGCAUAUUUUAUAUAUACACACACAUAUACACACAUAUAUGCGUACACACA
rnacentral:miRNA from 1 species